rnacentral:tRNA from 1 species
GGGGCGGUAGCUCAGCUGGGAGAGCGCCUGAAUGGCAUUCAGGAGGUCGGGGGUUCGAAUCCCCUCCGCUCCA